rnacentral:rRNA from 1 species
CCUACGGGUGGCAGCAGUAGGGAAUUUUCGGCAAUGGGGGGAACCCUGACCGAGCAACGCCGCGUGAACGAAGAAGUUAUUCGUAAUGUAAAGUUCUUUUAACAGGGAAGAAAGAGAAAUUUGACGGUAACUGAAGAAUAAGCUCCGGCAAACUACGGGCCAGCAGCCGGGGUAAUACGUAGGGAGCGAGCGUUAUUCGGAAUUAUUGGGCGGAAAGGGUGGGAAGAGGGCAUAGUAAGUGUUUUGUAAAAAUGCCGGCGUAAACCGAGUAGGGCAAAAGAUACUGUAAAUCUUGAGUAGGACAGAGGCAGGUGGAACUACGUGUGUAGCGGUGAAAUGCGUAGAUAUAUGUAAGAACAC